rnacentral:rRNA from 1 species
UACGGAAGGGGCAAGCGUUGUUCGGAAUCAUUGGGCGUAAAGGGCGCGUAGGUGGUUCUGUAUGUCUACCGUGAAAGCAUACAGCUCAACUGUAUUUUGUCGGUAGAAACUGCAGGACUUGAGGCUGGGAGGGGCUGGUGGAAUUCCCUGUGUAGCGGUGAAAUGCGUAGAGAUGUGGAGGAACACCGAUGGCGAAGGCAGCCCCCUGGGCUAACACUGACGCUCAUGCACGAAAGCGUGGGGAGCAAACAGG